AGAUAGGCCAGAUGUGUAAGUGGCGCAAUCCACGCAGCUGACUGGUACUAAUAGGCCGAGGACUUGACUUAA
rnacentral:rRNA from 1 species